CCGCGGUAAAACCAGCUCCCCGAGGGGUUCCCACGCAUACUGGGCCUAAAGCGUCCGUAGCCGGCCCUGUAAGUCUGCAGUUAAAUCCGCCUGUAGACAGGCGGGUUGCUGCAGAUAUUGCAGGGCUAGGGAGCGGGAGGAGCCGGGGGUAUUCCCGGGGGAGCGGUAAAAUGCGUAGAUCCCGGGAGGACCACCAGUGGCGAAGGCGCCCGGCUUGAACGCGUCCGACGGUGAGGGACGAAAGCUGGGGGAGCAAACCGGAUUAGAUACCCGGGUAGUCCCAGCCGUAAACGAUGCCGGCUAGGUGCUGGCCAAGGUUUCGGCCUUGGCCAGUGUCGAAGCGAAGGCAUUAAGCCGGCCGCCUGAGGAGUACGGCCGCAAGGCUGAAACUUGAAGGAAUUGACGGGGGGGCACCACAAGGGGUGAAUGCCUGCGGCUUAAUUGGACUCAACGCCGGGAAUCUUACCGGGGGCGACAGCAGGAUGAAGGUCAGGCUGAAGACCUUACCAGACGCGCUGAGGGGUGGUGCAUGGCCGUCGCCAGCUCGUGCCGUGAGGUGUCCUGUUAAGUCAGGCAACGAGCGAGACCCCCGCCCCUAGUUGCCAGCGGCCUCCUUCGGGAGGGACCGGGCAAACUAGGGGGACCGCCUCCGAAGAGGAGGAGGAAGGUGGGGGCUACGGCAGGUCAGUAUGCCCCUAAUCCCCCGGGCCGCACGCGGGCU
rnacentral:rRNA from 1 species